rnacentral:rRNA from 1 species
UGGGGAAUAUUGGGCAAUGGGCGCAAGCCUGACCCAGCGACGCCGCGUGGGUGAUGAAGGCCUUCGGGUCGUAAAGCCCUGUCGGGUGGAAAGAACGAUAGAGGGGCGAAUAGCCUCUCUAUGUGACGGUACCACCGAAGGAAGCACCGGCCAAUUCCGUGCCAGCAGCCGCGGUAAGACGGAAGGUGCAAGCGUUGCUCGGAAUCACUGGGCGUAAAGGGUGCGUAGGCGGCUUGGUGGGUCUGGUGUGAAAGCCCCGGGCUCAGCCCGGGAAGGGCACUAGAAACUGCCAAGCUGGAGUGCCGGAGGGGAGAGUGGAAUUCCUGGUGUAGCGGUGAAAUGCGUAGAUAUCAGGAGGAAUACCGGUGGCGAAAGCGACUCUCUGGACGGCAACUGACGCUGAGGCACGAAAGCGUGGGGAGCAAACAGGAUUAGAUACCCCGGUAGUCC